rnacentral:tRNA from 1 species
AUAAACAAAUUAAUGCUUUAUUUAAAGUUAGAAGCUUUAUAUAGUAUUUCUUU